rnacentral:rRNA from 1 species
CCAUUCUUAACAUACCUAAUUUCAUCUGCUUUCAGAAGUUGAGCAGGGUCAGGCCUCGCUUCUAGUUGGAUGGGAAACCACCAAGUAAUAACUGGG